CCCAAGUCUAAGCAGACGGGGUUGGGGCUUGGAUGAGGGUUGUCGGUGUCACCCACACCUCCCCUUUUUCCUCCUCCCCAAUCCCUGGUGACCUCGUCUCGUCUGGACCAUGCAGUCCGUAGUGUCUCCUGUGACCAAGGCCAUCUUCGUGGCUUUGUUCCUCUUUGCCAUCCUGCUCAUCCUCUACGUGAUCCUCUGGUACAUCUGCAGAGACGUGGACAACGACUACAUCUGAGGUGCGCAGGCUGGCUGGCCGCUGUCUCCGGCACGAACAGGUUCCUGUUUUCUGUGUCCUAUCCUUCCACUGGAGGGGUAGCAUUUUGAUCCAAAUCUAAACUCCCUGAUGGCAAGUUCCUGUCCUUUUUACCUUUCUUUGUAUCUCUAGAACUUCGCACAGUGACUGAUAUAUAAAUGGAAACUUCCCAUCACACUCUUUUCCAGUCCUUUGUGGUGACUUUGAAACACCACUGGAGGGAUAUGUGGAAGAAUCUUGUUGAUAUCUUUGACUCACCACUGGAAGAGAGCCACAUAAACUCUUUUUUGAGGGGAACAAAUCAGGAAGGGAAAACAACAGUCAAAAAUGAAGAGUUCCAGGCAGCAUCGUUUAAGAAGGACAUUUCUAACCUGGAGUGUCCAGAGGAGGGCAACUGGGAUGAUUGAAGAUCUUUGAAUCCAUGACAUAUGAGGAUCAUUGGAAAGAACUGGGCAGGUUUAGCCUGGAGAAGGGAAGACUCAGGGGAGGACUGAAUAUCCAUCUUCAAAUUUUUGAAAGGGUGUCAUGUGGGGGAGGGAUUAGGUCAUGUUCUGUUUGGCUGCAGAGGACAAAACCAGGAGCAAUGGGGGAAUGUACAAAGAGGCCAGCUGAGGCUUGACUUCAGAAAAGCCUUCCUCAGCAUUAGAACUGUUCAAAUGCAGAAUAGCCUUUCUCUAGAGGCUUUUCAGCAGAAGCAGGACAAUCACUUGUCUAGUCAAUUACACUGCGGAUUCCUUCUGUGUGCGGUUUGAUCUAAAUGGUUUUUGAAAUCCCUGCUACCUCUCAAAUUUGAUUUGUGGUUAUGUGAAGAGAGUUGUAGAAUGGGGUGAUGGCCAGAGAGUGUCAGUUUGCUGGUGUUAGGUCAUGAGCUUUGGGCUGUGAAUGUGAAAGCAGUUAAAUGUGAUGGCACCUUCUAUAAUUUCUUUAAUUACACUGGGGGGGUAGGGGAGGGGCACAAUAGAAUAUUACUUUUGACCUCCUUUUGAACUUUCUUUUCCCUUUUUAUGAAAAUAGUAUUGUCAGGAUAUUAAGAAGUACUUGAAUAUUUUGAAAUAAGUAUUACACAAAUACUACAGUCAUAUUUCUUAUGAUAUUGGAUACUUCCAUACAUUUUCCUUAAUUAUCCAUUAAUUAUCUAUCAGUAAGCAUUUACUGUACACCCAAAAAAGAGAACCCAAAAGAGCAGUAUUGUGCCUGGCACAUGGUAGGCACAUAUAAAUGUUUCUUGACUGGGCAGCUUUUAAAAGACUUCACAUACUACUUUUCACUAAUAUUCUAGUAAUAGGACUUGAGGCACUUAUAUCAUUAAAAGUUCAUAACUGGGGGCAACUAGGUGGUGCAGUGGAAAAAGCACCAGCCCUGGAUUCAGGAGGACCUAAAUUCAAAUCCUGCCGCAGACACUUACUAGCUGUGUGACCCUGGAUGAGUCAGAAGACUUAGACUGUGUACUCCCAGAUCUACUAGAAAGUCACUUGAUUGCUCUGAGCUUCACUUUCCCCAGCUGUAAAAUGGGGAUAAUAUCUGUUGUAAUGAUCAAAUGUGAGCUUUGCAAAUGAUAAAAAGCUGGAUAAAUGUCA